UUUCCGUAGGUGAACCUGCGGAAGGAUCAUCAAUGAAAUAAUAUUUCAUUAUUACGACAACACCCUCUUGUGCUACUUUUUGCAUUGGGAUGUCAUGUCCCAAUGUAUUUUUUUUUUAAAACUCUUAAACCCCCUUCCAUUUUUUUUUGUAAAAUAUACCCCCCUCUUUUUAAAAAAAAAGAAAAAAAAAGACACAACUUUUAACAACGGAUCUCUUGGCUCUC
rnacentral:misc_RNA from 1 species